rnacentral:rRNA from 1 species
AGCGACUAAGCGUACACGGUGGAUGCCCUGGCAGUCAGAGGCGAUGAAGGGCGUGCUAAUCUGCGAUAAGCGCCGGUAAGGUGAUAUGAACCGUUAUAACCGGCGAUACCCGAAUGGGGAAACCCAGUGUGACUCGUCACACUAUCAUUAACUGAAUCCAUAGGUUAAUGAGGCGAACCGGGGGAACUGAAACAUCUAAGUACCCCGAGGAAAAGAAAUCAACCGAGAUUCCCCCAGUAGCGGCGAGCGAACGGGGAGGAGCCCAGAGCCUGAAUCAGCAUGUGUGUUAGUGGAAGCGUCUGGAAAGGCGCGCGAUACAGGGUGACAGCCCCGUACACAAAAGCGCAUGUGCUGUGAGCUCGAUGAGUAGGGCGGGACACGUGGUAUCCUGUCUGAAUAUGGGGGGACCAUCCUCCAAGGCUAAAUACUCCUGACUGACCGAUAGUGAACCAGUACCGUGAGGGAAAGGCGAAAAGAACCCCGGCGAGGGGAGUGAAAAAGAACCUGAAACCGUGUACG